AGUGAACGCUAGCGGUAGGCCUAACACAUGCAAGUCGAACGGCAGCACAGUAAGAGCUUUGUCUUACAGGUGGCUAGUCGCGGACGCGUGAGGAAUACAUCGGAAUCUACUUUUUCUUGGGGGGUAACGAAGUUAAGCUUACGCGAAUACCACAUACUACCUACCCGUGAAAGCAUCGGAUCGUCGGACCUUGUGCAACUGAAUUAGCCGAUGUCGGAUUAGCUAGUUUUCUGGGUAAAGGCCCACCAAGGCGACGCUCCGUAGCUGGUGUGAGAGGAUGAUCAGCCACACUAGAUCUGAGACACGGUCCAGACUCCUAUGGGAGGCAACAGUGGAGAAUAUUGGACUAUGGACGGGAGGCUGAUCCAGACCUACCGCGUGGCUGAAGAAGGCCUUCGGGUUGUAAAGCUAUUUUGUUGGGAAAGAAAAGCAGCAGGUUAAUCCCCCGCUGUUCUGACGGUACCCAAAGAAUAAGCACCGGCUAACUUCGUG
rnacentral:rRNA from 1 species